AGAGCCAAGGAAAUGGUUCGGUAUGUGAAGGGUCAUCAAGUUAAAGCAGCAAUCUACCUCACCAAGCAAAGUGAGAAGAAUAAGAGCACCACAUUGAAGCUGCCCAGCAACACCCGUUGGGGUGGUGUUGUCAUGUUUGACAGUCUCCUGGAGGGGAAGGAGUCUCUCCAAGUAAUGGCCAUAUCACAGUCUGCCGAUAUGGACAGCCCCAUCAAGAGGAUCCUCCUGGAUGAUGUAUUUUUGGAGAGAGUGGUAAGUAGGGAUGAAAUGGUUACCGGUUUCACAAUAAACCACGGUAAAAUUCCCAACGGUUAGUAUUACCGUUUCAAAUUUGAAUUAUCAUUAAAACCGUGUUUGAUUACCACGGUUUGAAAAACUCAUGGUAAGUACUGUCCAGCAUCAACCAAAGUUAGCAACAGUCUGACGCAGGCGCAGCAUGCAACGUGGGUUUUGUUUUGUGUGAAAACAUGGCGGAAGACAGUGACAGCACUCUGGAGAUUUUUCAGCCUUCUAAGAGGACCAAAUCUGAAGUGUGGUCAUAUUUUGGGUUUUACAAGAGUGCUGAGGGAAACUUAAUCGAAGAUGGUCACCCAGUCUGCAGAACAUGCAAAAAUAAAAUCGCUGUGAAAGGGGGCAACACUUCAAAUCUCUUGAGUCAUCUUCAUGACCACUACUUUAUAGCGAAUGCAAGAGUGGGCGAGCAGCAGGCUAACCCAAUGAUGCUACUGGUCCUUCCUCAUCUACAGUUGUGACAGACACUCCAGCAAGCAUUUAAAAAGGCAGGCUGCUUAUGCACCCACAUCAAAAAAUGCUCAAGACCUCACUGCAGCCCUUUCAUAUUACAUUGCAAAGGACAUGAUGCCAUUUCAAAUUGUUGAGUGGCCUGGCUUUCUGAGGCUGAUGGAGGUUGCCGUGCCUCACUACAAAGUGCCUUCACAAACUUUAUUUUCCAAGACUGAAAUCUCAAAUCUGUACCAGGUUAAAGCUGAUGUUGGAAAAAGUUUGGCUCAAGGCACAUGGUUUGCUGCAACUAGACCUCUGGACCAGCGGGGGUGGUCAACCCUACAUCAGCUUCACUAUCCAUUACCUCACCCCAGACUGGCAACUGGAAUCAAACUGCCUGGAAACACAGUUCUUCCCAGAAGAUCACUCGGCUCACAACAUCAAGAGUUUUUUGAGAAUAUGCUGGAAGAGUGGGGUAUCAACAAGAAAGAGAGAAAAGCAAGCUGCCCUCAACAUGCCACAAAAGGCUCUGAUCCAUGAUGUGGAGACCCGAUGGGGAUCUACACACAAAGCACCAGCAGCACCUCCACCACCAACACCCCCACAGCGGCAUCGGAGGGGAAAGGCCUGGCUGGGUUGCUGAGAAAGAUUACCUCAACAAGGCAGCAGAGGUGAAGAGGGUCAGAUUCUGACCACCCCAGAAGACAGAGGGAAAGAAGAGAUCAAGGACUACAUGUCUCUGCCACCCAUUCCAGCAGAAGAGGAUCCACUGGUGUGGUGGAGGGACCCCACCCAUUCCAGCAGGAGAGGAUCCACUGGUGUGGUGGAGGGGCCAUACAUCAGAGUUACUUCACCUUGUCAGGGUUGCCAGGAAGCUUUUGUGCAUCCCAGCAACCAGCGUGCCAUCAGAGAGAGUGCCAGCGGGCACAUUGUCUCCCAUUGCAGAUCACUACUUAAACCGGACAAAGUAAAUAUGCUGACAUUUUUACAUUUCAAUCUCAAGUGAACAAAGAUGCAUACAUACAGGAUGUUAGGCCAGCAGCACCUUAUUUCUUUAUGAAGGAGAGAACGGACAUACAAUCAGUGCUGUUCAUUUUGAUUUGUUAACAUAUUUUGUGAUAUUUUAAUGUCAACACCUGCACAUUGGAUUUGUUUCCAUAUGGUUGUAUUGUUGUUACAUCCACAUUGCUUUACUUGUGUUGCUUUUAUAUGCACAUUUAAUUUGCUUAUUUAAGGUUUUGUUCAUUAAAACCUGCACUAGGGAAACUUUUACCUCUCAUGGCCACAUGGUGCCAUCUUUAAUGUUAUAACAUUAAUGUUUAUGCACAAAGUACAUAGUGCUGCUCAUUUUAUUGUUUGUUGGUUUUCAAUAUAAAACUUGGUGAAAUGA